rnacentral:rRNA from 1 species
UACGGAGGGUGCAAGCGUUGCUCGGAAUUAUUGGGCGUAAAGGGUAGGUAGGUGGUCUUAUUUGUCUGGGGUGAAAGCCUUGAGCUUAACUCAAGAAGUGCCCCAGAAACGGUAAGACUAGAGUCCUAGAGAGGGUCGUGGAAUUCCCGGUGUAGCGGUGAAAUGCGUAGAGGUCGGGAGGAACACCAGAGGCGAAGGCGGGCGACCUGGAUAGGUACUGACACUCAACUACGAAAGCGUGGGGAGCAAACAGG